AUUGAACGCUGGCGGCAGGCCUAACACAUGCAAGUCGAACGGUAGCACAGAGAGCUUGCUCUCGGGUGACGAGUGGCGGACGGGUGAGUAACGUCUGGGAAACUGCCCGAUGGAGGGGGAUAACUACUGGAAACGGUAGCUAAUACCGCAUAACGUCGCAAGACCAAAGUGGGGGACCUCCGGGCCUCACACCAUCGGAUGUGCCCAGAUGGGAUUAGCUAGUAGGUGGGGUAAUGGCUCACCUAGGCGACGAUCCCUAGCUGGUCUGAGAGGAUGACCAGCCACACUGGAACUGAGACACGGUCCAGACUCCUACGGGAGGCAGCAGUGGGGAAUAUUGCACAGUGGGCGCAAGCCUGAUGCAGCCAUGCCGCGUGUAUGAAGAAGGCCUUCGGGUUGUAAAGUACUUUCAGCGGGGAGGAAGGCGGUGAAGUUAACAGCUUCACCGAUUGACGUUACCCGCAGAAGAAGCACCGGCUAACUCCGUGCCAGCAGCCGCAGUAA
rnacentral:rRNA from 1 species